ACACCUCAACUCUCAUGGUUUGCCAUGAUGAGCUUGGACUUUGGGGGUCUUGCUGGCCUACGGUCAGCUCCUCUCAAACAAAUCAGCUUGCCAGUGUUUGGUGGCAUCACAGGUGUGAUAACUAUCUACGCUUGUGGCUUUCCACCAGGUAACCUUCAGUGAUGGAGGUUCGCUGGAGCUCAUAAACGUCUCUCCUCUGCGAGGACAACUUUUUGAAU
rnacentral:misc_RNA from 1 species